CCUACGGGAGGCAGCAGUGAGGAAUAUUGGUCAAUGGACGAGAGCCUGAACCAGCCAAGUAGCGUGAAGGAUGACUGCCCUAUGGGUUGUAAACUUCUUUUAUAUGGGAAUAAAAUGUUCCACGUGUGGGAUUUUGUAUGUACCUUAUGAAUAAGGAUCGGCUAACUCCGUGCCAGCAGCCGCGGUAAUAAGGAGGAUCCGAGCGUUAUCCGGAUUUAUUGGGUUUAAAGGGAGCGUAGGUUGGGUGUUAAGUCAGUUGUGAAAGGUUGCGGCUCAACCGUAAAAGUGCAGUUGAAACUGGCGGGCUUGAGGACAGUAGAGGUGGGCGGAAUUCGUGGUGUAGCGGUGAAAUGCUUAGAUAUCACGAAGAACUCCGAUUGCGAAGGCAGUUCACUGGACUGCAACUGACACUGAGGCUCGAAAGUGUGGGUAGCAAACAGGAUUAGAUACCCCUGUAGUC
rnacentral:rRNA from 1 species